rnacentral:snRNA from 1 species
UUUUCCUUGUUUCUCUUCAAAUCACGAAUAAAUUUUUUGCCUUUUACUAAAGAUUUCCGUGGAGGGGAACACUAAAUAGUAUCGUUCUACAAAAUCUAGCUAUGAACGCGUACCGUAAA